UGCGUCGACGGUAACGCGGGGCAACCUGGCGACGAGUGGCGAACGGGUGAGUAAUGCAUCGGAACGUGCCCAGUAGUGGGGGAUAGCCCGGCGAAAGCCGGAUUAAUACCGCAUACGACCUACGGGUGAAAGCGGGGGACCGCAAGGCCUCGCGCUAUUGGAGCGGCCGAUGUCAGAUUAGGUUGUUGGUGGGGUAAAGGCCUACCAAGCCGACGAUCUGUAGCUGGUCUGAGAGGACGACCAGCCACACAGGGACUGAGACACGGCCCAGACUCCUACGGGAGGCAGCAGUGGGGAAUUUUGGACAAUGGGCGCAAGCCUGAUCCAGCCAUGCCGCGUGCGGGAAGAAGGCCUUCGGGUUGUAAACCGCUUUUGUCAGGGAAGAAACGCUCCGGGCUAAUACCCCGGGGUAAUGACGGUACCUGAAGAAUAAGCACCGGCUAACUACGUGCCAGCAGCCGCGGUAAUACGUAGGGUGCAAGCGUUAAUCGGAAUUACUGGGCGUAAAGCGUGCGCAGGCGGUCUUGCAAGACAGAUGUGAAAUCCCCGGGCUUAACCUGGGAACUGCAUUUGUGACUGCAAGGCUGGAGUGCGGCAGAGGGGGAUGGAAUUCCGCGUGUAGCAGUGAAAUGCGUAGAUAUGCGGAGGAACACCGAUGGCGAAGGCAAUCCCCUGGGCCUGCACUGACGCUCAUGCACGAAAGCGUGGGGAGCAAACAGGAUAGAUACCCUGGUAGUCCACGCCCUAAACGAUGUCAACUGGUUGUUGACGGCUUGCUGUUCAGUAACGAAGCUAACGCGUGAAGUUGACCGCCUGGGGAGUACGGCCGCAGGUUGAAACUCAAAG
rnacentral:rRNA from 1 species